CCAGUUAUGCAGUUAUUUUAUACAGAUUUUACCAUGAUCUGAUUGGAUAGUGUAAUCAUUUCAAUCUCGUUAUUCUGUGAACUUCGCCCUGAUUGGAUAAAGAGCUCAUAAAUCAAUGGCGCUGACUCCGCCCCGUAUGGUCGUAGUUCUGCCAGAGACGGAAGAGCCAGCGAGACAGUCGUAGAUGGGUUUUUUUCUUUCUUUUUUUGUUUCAAUAAAAGUCUAUAUGAACUAAGUAGACCCGACCCAGCGGAUAUUCCAUUGGUGUCUAUGAGAGACACACCCAGUUAAGAAGACCGGAACUGACAUUUUUGUUCUGUGAUAAACGGUCUGAGUUAACUGUCUUCAUUUAUCCACCAUCUUUGGUUCUGCUUUGAAUACAUUGCAUGGAAAUAUUGCCACAAGCAGUGUCCCGAGUGACGAGUGCGCACAGUACUGUUCCAUCGCAACUUUGCUAGGAUUCUUUUAUGAUUCAAAGUAACGGAAUAUUUAGGCUAAGCGCUCAUCUGUGGAUACGUUAUCAGAAUAACUUGUAUUAUUUGCUUGUAGAAAUACAUUUCCCUUGUUUUCAGUCGUUUGAGAAGUCUACGCUUAGGAUAACUUUGUCUUGCUACCCAGACGCAGGAAGUAGGGCUACAGGUGAGCCAGACACGGAGCAGCAGAGAGAGAGACAGCUUGUUGAAUUGGAAGCUGAACUAGGGCUACAGUGAACCAAGACACGGAGCAGCAGAGAGAGAGACAGUUUGUUGAAUUGGAAGCUGAACUAGGGCUACAGUGAACCAAGACACGGAGCUGCAUGGAGAGAGACAGCUUGUUGAAUUGGAAGCUGAACUAGGCCUACAGGUGAGCAAGACACGGAGCAUCAGAGAGAGAGACAGCUUGUUGAAUUGGAAGCUGAACUAGGGCUACAGUGAACCAAGGCACGGAGCUGCAGGGAGAGAGACAGCUUGUUGAAUUGGAAGCUGAACUAGGGCUACAGUGAACCAAGACACGGAGCUGCAUGGAGAGAGACAGCUUGUUGAAUUGGAAGCUGAACUAGGGCUACAGUGAACCAAGACACAGAGCUGCAGUGAGAUAGUUUUUUACCCAGCUAGCACAUAACGUGCUGAGAACCAUAUGUUUGGUAAGAGCGUGAUUGUCCUUUUAGUUAUUUUUGCAUACAACCUUUCCACAACGUUCUGGGAAUGGUGCAGGAUACCCAGCUAGCACUUCAUCUUCUAAGAGCCAUGUGUCUUAAGUGGGAAUUUCUGUACUUAAGCAUAACAUUUCCUACAGGUUUCCUCGUGGUUCUAUUUAAAGUCAUGUUCUCAGAACGUUCAGGGAAACGUUAAGAAACAAAGUUCUUCUGUGGGAAUAUUAGUACUUCAGCGUAACGUUUUCUGCAGGUUUCCUCAUGGUUUUAUUUAAAGUCGGGUUCUCAGAACAUUAAGAAAACGUUAGUAACGUUCUAAGAAUGUUGUUUAAAAAGAUAUGUGACCGACCGGCUCCAUUCGGUCUUAGGUAGCAAAAUGCUAAAUGUGUUUUUGUUUUUUACAUUGGAUAAAAAUAGAGACUCAGAGCUAGAAAAUAGUAUGUCAUACUCUACAGUUGAGGAACAAGGGGAAAGUCAUGAGUCACGGUCAUGGGUGCAUCUCAGCCAUGCUCAAGGUACUAAACGAUAUCAUAACCGCCAUUGAUAAAAGACAGAACUGUGCAGCCGUCUUCAUCGACCUGGCCAAGGCUUUCGACUUUGUCAAUCACCGUAUUCUUAUCGGUAGGCUCAACAGCCUUGGUUUCUCAAAUGAUUGCCUCGCCUGGUUCACCAACUAAUUCGCAGACAGAAUUCAGUGUGUCAAAUCGGAGGGCCUGUUGUCCGGUUCUCUGGCAGUCUCUAUGGAGGUGCCACAGGGUUCAAUUCUCGGGCCGACUCUUUUCUCUGUAUAAAUCAAUGAUGUCGCUCUUGCUGCGGGUGAUUCCUUGAUCCAUCUCUACGCAUAUGACACCAUUCUGUAUACAUCUGGCACUUCUUUGGACACUGUGUUAAUCUCUAGUAACUCCCCAUCCCGGGUGCGGGAGCGUAAUCAUCGACUCACACUAAUUAGCAUAACGCAACGGACAUAAAAUAUAGAAAAUAUUCCUAUUCAUGAAAAUCACAAGUGAAAUAUAUUGAGACACAGCUUAGCCUUUUGUUAAUCACCCUGUCAUCUCAGAUUUUCAAAAUAUGCUUUACAGCCAAAGCUAGACAAGCAUUUGUGUAAGUUUAUCGAUAGCCUAGCAUAGCACUUUGUCCAGCUAGCAGCAGGUAACUUGGUCACGAAAAUCAGAAAAGCAAUCAAAUUAAAUUGUUUACCUUUGAUGAGCUUCGGAUGUUUUCACUCACGAGACUCCUAGUUAGAUAGCCAAUGUUUCUUUUUUCCAAAAAUAUUAUUUUUGUAGGCGAAAUAGCUCCGUUUGUUCUUCACGUUUGUCUGAGAAAUCGUCCGGAAAUUGCAGUCACGAAAACGCCGAAAAAUAUUCCAAAUUAGCUCCAUAAUAUCGACAGAAAUAUGGCAAACGUUGUUUAUAAUCAAUCCUCAAGGUGUUUUUCAAAUAUCUAUUCGAUAAUAUAUCCACCGGGACAAUUGUUUUUUCAGUAGGACCGAUUGGAAUAAUGGCUACCUCUAUAUUUUACGCGAGGAUCACUCUGGGAGCCAUCAGGUGACCAGUUGCGCAAUGUAGCCGCUUACGGGUAUUCUUCAACAUAAAUGCGUAAAACUACGUCACAAUGCUGUAACGUUAGGUUAGCUGGCUAGCCAGUACAAAUAAUGACUGUAUCAUAUAUCUGACAAUGUCUUUAGCUCAUUUGUAUUCAUAAAUAAACUCACAACAAGAUCAUUAUUUACAAGAGCUAAUUACACAAAAUAGCUUACGUUUGUGAGUGAGAUUAAAUAAAAGCAGGGCUUUCUACCUGAGAAUCCUGGAACUUGGACACUGUCUCGUUGGCCUAACGUUAUAUCCUAAUUUGACUUUGGUGCAGGUCAUGUUGUUCUUCACAUUACCGUCUCUGGUAAACACACACUAUAUCAAAUCAAAUCUAAGUUUAUUUGUCACAUGCGCAGGAUACACAAGGUGCAAACAGUACAGUGAAAUGGCUACUUGCAUAGUGGAGUCUUUUGUUUAUACAAGUAGCUAGUUAGCUAGUUAGCUAAACAAUGAACCAUAAUCCCAAAUUCCGAAUCUGCUGGUAGCUAAUGCUAAUCAACCAGCUAAUUCAAUAUUAGAUAGCUAGCUAACAUUAGGCUAUAACUAGCAAUGCAAAUGGCUCUGAGAUACGAAUAAUAGUACUACACAGAUCAUACAUGUAAUGUUAGCUAGCAAGGCAGUCAGCUAACAUUAGCUAGCUAGCUAAUAGUACACUUUAACUUGUAAUGUAAACGACUCUGACAAAAUUAGAAACCUGUAAUAUCUGAAAAUGUAGCUAGCUAGACGCUCUUACCUGUAUACACGGAUGAACGCUUCUCCCUCUCUGUCACGGUUGCCAUGGUUACCCUUAGUUUGAAGAUGUAAUCCAGAAACAGGUGUUUUAUACAACAGCAUUCUUCUGUGUGUUCUCUUUUCGGCUCCCCUGUGUAUUUGCAAUCAAACGUCAGAAUUUUCUCAUUCUCCAUCGCGAUCAUACUCUGCUUCCACCGGGCAUUCCACUGAUUUCAAAACUCCGUCCUCCAGAAAGUGGAGAGCAUCAGCAACACUUGCAGUUCUUUGUAAUAACUUUCACAAUAGUCACGCUAGAAAGGAUUACCUACACAUACAGUGCCUUUGGAAAGUAUUCAGCAAAAACAGUUAUUUUGACAUUUUUGAAAAUGUAUUUAAAAAAAAAGGGAAAUAUUACAUUUACUCAAGUAUUUAGACCCUUUACUCAGUACUUUGUUGAAACACAUUUGGCAGUGAUUACAGUAUCGAGGCAUUCUUGGGUAUGAUGCUACAGGCUUGCCACAAUUGUAUUUGGGGAGUUUCUCCCAUUCUUCUCUGCAGAUCCUCUCAAGCUCUGUCAGGUUGGAUGGGGAGCGUCGCUGCAGAGCUAUUUUCAGGCCUCUCCAGAGAUGUUCGAUCGGGUUUAAGUCCGGGCUCUGGCUGGGCCACUCAAGGACAUUCAGAGACUUGUCCCAAAGCCACUCCUGUGUUGUCUUGGCUGUGUGCUUAGGGUCGUUGUCCUGUUGCAAGGUGAACCUUCACGCCAGCCUGGUUGAUUGGUUUACAAAUCAAUGUUUUUUUGUAUCAAGACUGCCCAAAUGUGCCUAAUUUGUUUAUGAAUAACUUUUCAUGUUCAAAAUUGUGCACUCUCCUCAAACAAUAGCAUGGUUUUCUUUCACUGUAAUAGCUACUGUAAAUUGGACAGUGCAGUUAGAUUAACAAGAAUUUAAGCUUUCUGCCAAUAUCAGAUAUGUCUAUGUCCUGGGAAAUGUUCUUGUUACUUACAACCUCAUGCUAAUCACAUUAGCCUACGUUAGCUCAACUGUCCCGUAGAAGGGACACCGAUCCUGAAGAAGUUUUUUAAGGGCUUGUGAGUAAGCGUUUCAUGGUAAGAUCUACAUCUGUUGUAUUCGGCGCAUGUGACAAAUACAAAUUGAUUUGAUCAAUGCCUAAGCAAAUUCAUUUCCAUGUGUCGUAUCUGUGCUUGGAAUUCAAAACGGUUAAACUAAGCCAGUCUUAUUGAAACAUGUUCUCAGAAUCUUAAUUUAAUUACCCUCAAAUAACAAUGCAAGUUCCCAAAACAGGCAAAGUGUACCCUUCGUUCUCAGAACCAAUGGGAAACCAAAAAUGUAUGUUCCCGCAACUUCCAAGGAACCAAAUGUGCUAGCUGGGUAUUUUUUCCACUGUGCCCCUCACUCUCCAGUCCAGUGCCAUGAUACUAUAGCCAGGAGGAUAUCAUAGACUGACUGUACAACCACAGAGAAUAUCAAUGGGAAUAUUAAACCAGUUUAAAGACCCUUUGUGACGUACGUCCAUAUUCCACUGUGCUUCUCAGCUCCUCCCUCUCCAGUCCAGUCCCCGUGAUGUAUUUGGCUGAUUGCUUCUCAGCUCCUCCCUCUCCAGUCCAGUCCUGUGAUGUAUUUGGCUGAUUGCUUCUCAGCUCCUCCCUCUCCAGUCCAGUCCCGUGAUGUAUUUGGCUGAUUGCUUCUCAGCUCCUCCCACUCCAGUCCA
rnacentral:lncRNA from 13 species